GUUGAUAAAUUAUUUAACGAGUGUGAGAACAUCUCAUCAUUGCUGAGCAACACAGAGUAGAGGACAGGUAAACUAUUUAAAAUUUGCUUCCAUACCUAUGGUGCUUUAUAAUUAUUGAUCUUUUGGCCGAAGAUGAGCAUUUUUUACCGAAAAAUCAUGUUUUCGGUAAAAGCUCAUUUUCACCUCGGAGACUAUGUCAACAAGCAGAAUUGUUGGAUGGGGCUCGCAAAAUCGUGCCCAAUGAAAAGCCAUUGCAUCCACAAGUCACUGUUUGGUGUGGUUUUUGGUCUGACAGCAUCAUCAGCCAUGUUUCUUCAAAAAUGCCCAAGGAGCUGCCAUUCCCGUGAAUGGCGAGCGUUACCGAGCAACGCUUAAGGAAUUUUUGUUUCCAAAAAUUCAAGAGGAUGGCAAUUGGUAUCAAAAGAAAGGAGCAACUUGCCACACCAACAACAGUUGAACUUUUGAGCCCAUGGGACUAGUUUAGACUGUGGAGAAACAAUUGAAUACUUGAAACGCAAAAUCGGAAUUGCUAUUAGUGAGAUUCAAGCCGAAACAAUCGAAAAAGUACUGGAAAAUUGGAUUGAUCAAAUGGGCUAUUGUAAGGCCACAUGUCGAUAUAAUUUUUUAUUCUUAAAUUAAAAGAACUAUCUUUUCAAUAAAAUCGGAAUCUUGACAAAAUAUUUAUUAGUUGCUUGCAAUAUUAAUGAAAUUUAUAUUCAAAUAAAUAAAUUAAUAUGUG